rnacentral:rRNA from 1 species
UACGUAGGGUCCGAGCGUUGUCCGGAGUUACUGGGCGUAAAGCGUGCGCAGGCGGUUUUGUAAGUCUGUCGUGAAAUCCCCGGGCUCAACCUGGGAAUUGCGAUGGAGACUGCAAGGCUCGAGUCCGGGAGAGGGGGGUGGAAUUCCCAGUGUAGCGGUGAAAUGCGUAGAUAUUGGGAGGAACACCGGUGGCGAAGGCGGCCCCCUGGACCGGUACUGACGCUGAGGCGCGAAAGCGUGGGUAGCAAACGGG